rnacentral:rRNA from 1 species
CAGCAGUGAGGAAUAUUGGACAAUGGGCGCAAGCCUGAUCCAGCCAUGCCGCGUGCAGGAUGACGGUCCUAUGGAUUGUAAACUGCUUUUGUACGAGAAGAAACAUCCCUACGUGUAGGGACUUGACGGUAUCGUAAGAAUAAGGAUCGGCUAACUCCGUGCCAGCAGCCGCGGUAAUACGGAGGAUCCAAGCGUUAUCCGGAAUCAUUGGGUUUAAAGGGUCCGUAGGCGGUUUGGUAAGUCAGUGGUGAAAGCCCAUCGCUCAACGGUGGAACGGCCAUUGAUACUGCCAGACUUGAAUUAUUAGGAAGUAACUAGAAUAUGUAGUGUAGCGGUGAAAUGCUUAGAGAUUACAUGGAAUACCAAUUGCGAAGGCAGGUUACUACUAAUGGAUUGACGCUGAUGGACGAAAGCGUGGGUAGCGAACAGGAUUAGAUACCCUGGUAGUCCACGCCGUAAACGAUGGAUACUAGCUGUUGGAAGCAAUUUCAGUGGCUAAGCGAAAGUGAUAA